CUUCUAGCACCAUGGCAGGAAUCAACGUCAUUUUUUUUGCCAAUGUUUCCACAUUUCUGAUCAUCCUUUUCAUGGGAGGGAUGAUUCAACUGCAGCCCAGGCAUGACAGGGACAGGGAUAUGGCCAAUCACGAUGAGCCUAUUAUUGAGCUGGAGGCCGGUCUGCUGUCAGGCUUGACCGUCCGCGCCGGACAUCCCAUCCGAUUGGCUGCCUACAUCCGUGGGAAACCCGAUCCCGAGGUAUGGUGGGAGGCCGACCCCGAGCUGGACAAGACGCGCACUGUGAUUGGUCCGACAGAGGACGGGUCAGAGUGCGUGCUGAAGAACUCCCAGAGGACAGACUCCGGACUGUACAAGGUCACCGCAAGCAACGAUGCUGGCGAGAAGUCGGCUACCUGCAUGGUCACUGUACUCGACUUUGGCAGGGCUUUCCAGUCGCACUCAAGCACUGAAAGUUUGACAUGUAAGUCUACUUCUAGCCAAGGGAACUUCAAGGUUAAAGGAACCAUUCAACUGAACGAUACACAGCCCAGACAUGAGAGGAACAGGAAUAUGGUCAAUCAUGUCCUUGGACUGCUAGGACGGACUGUUGUGGCAGUUGUGGCUUUCAUCUGGACUCUGAGAGGAACACUUUUGGCUCAUGACCAUGAUCGUUCAAGUGUGAAACAAGUGUUUGUUCAGAAGGCUGACAUAAAGUUGAACCCGACAAUUUCAUGCAUCUUGCCUAAUGGAGCAACAGUGGAACUUGUGUAUAAACCUCAGAGGAAGGUGAAAUUUGUCACAAGAGAUGCAAUAAGGGAAUAUCAAGUCAGAAAGUUAUCCACAAAGGACCAGAACUACCAGCUUGUACACGAAGGAUGGUGUCUCCCAGAAAAUGCUACACUUGUGGAUUGCGCUGUUUGGGGCAAUAGCACUGUAAUAUUGAAGGAACACAUACGUGGAGGUCGACCUGAAACACUUGUAGGUUUACAAAACACAUGCAGAUCUCACCCAGGAGUUUUCUCAUGUGCUAUUGAUUCCUUCUUGGAUUUGUUUCACUUCAGCGUUUUCAGACAGUUUCCAGAUUUUCAGUGUUCAAACAACCUUGGACCUUUCCUCUCCAAGGUUUUAUGGAGCUGCAAAGAAAGAGCUAGAGCUCAAACGCCAAAGGCAGUGCAAGACACACGUGAACACACAUGGACAUGGGUGAGGCAAAAUGUACGGUCUUUUGCAGGAGGCACUGCUGAUGCAUGUGUUGACGAGUUAUUUGACCAUGUCACUGUCACCCAAUGGGAAAGGAACGCCUUUGCUUUGGCCAAGACAGUGUCCAGAACAUGUAUAAACUGUAACCAGACCAAAGAAGAUACGAGAUACCAUUGCCCGAUCUUGCUACAUUCUAGCAUGUUUCAACAACAAAUGAGCAUGCAGGAAGUCAUAAAAAGCAAUUUCCUUGACAUCAAAAACAGUCCAGGAUAUUGUUCAAGUUGUGGCCUACGAAGUGUAGUGAGCACAUUAAAAGACAUCAACCUUCCUGAAUAUCUUUUUGUUGAGGUGCCAUUCUUACCCCAAGGGGGAAGAAAUGACAACCUCUGUGGUGUUGAAAUUGAACACAGGAUGACAUUGAACAGACAGACAUAUACUAUCAUGGGUGGCAUCAGAGCAAAACCAGGGCACUUUACUUCAAUUGUGUGUAAAGGGGGGCAGCUAUAUGAGCUUGACGACUUGUACAAUGGGCAUGUUAAAGAAGGACAUAAUCUAUCCAGCCUCUUUGGUCAAACAGGAAAAACAUACAAAACAGAGCCUGGUAACUUCCUACACAUGGUUGUUUACAAACAAGAUUCAACCGGCCAGAUGCAUGGGGAGAUGGACGGUGUCAGUCUCAAGAAUGAGACAACAAGACCUCCACUCGCUCCGUUGGAAAAUCUAAAAGAAUAUUACCACUCUCCAUCUAAAAGAAAAAAUGUAGGACCCCCUGCCCAUCACAAGCGGGAAAAAAUAUCUAAAGUAAAUGCAGCUUUGUCUAGAGACACUUUUAAUGUAACAAUUGUUUCAGGAAUGGACAAAUGCCCAAAGACAGGACAGCUUUGUGAUGGAAAGUAUAUGGUACAAGAAGCAAACCACUGUUUUGAUGAAAAAAAGAAUGAGCUUGAGAAAACUAAAGGAUCUCAAGUCCCUUUGGCAAACUGCCUUGUUGACAGAAAAAAAAAUCAAGGAGCAAGUGCGAAAAAAUCCCCACCGAUAUCAUCAACAAUGAUUGAAAUGGAAAGGCAUGUGCAAGUCAGCAAGAAAAACUGUACCAAAGGAAGUAUGGGAGCUGCGUGUGAUACUGAAAUCAAGGUCAAAACAAAAAAGCCUGAACUGGAAAAAGGUGAUUCCAAGAAAUUGUCAGUGUGUCCACAAAAUACAUUUAUAAUGUCUGGAUUUAUUGAUCUUGGACUCCUGAGUGAUCACGAAGUAAGCUUUCAAUAUUGGGCAAAAUCUGAUAAUGAGCUGUAUUUUAGUUUUGUCAACACGUUGGAAGUUUUGGGGUUAACCAAAGAUAUAAAAGUGAAAAAACGUGGCUACAAAAGAAUUUACAACCAUAUUGACAGUUGUGGGCUAGACCAUGGCAAAGAAAUUGUCAUUAUCAAGAUGAAUGAUGGGACAUCUAUCAAAGCGGUGUCUUUUGAAGGUUUUAUUUGUUUACUUUCAUUGCCACCUAAAAUGUUUGACCAAGUUUCAGUUGUUAAUAGUGUUAAAAAGUAUUUUACAUCAAUAUUGAAAGAAAAGCUACUAGCCAAAGUUUUAUGUUCAAAGUCUUUAAAGCAUAAAAAGACAACACAGCAAAGUCGACAAACCCAGACAGCAAAUAACAACCCAUUUCUGGGAUCUUCGCUGAAACCAACAUCAUGCUUUAUUUCUGAUAUUGAUAAAAAAAAGAAAGAAGGAAAAUCUGGACGCUGUAGUACAACUGAAACCCGACUAAGGGAACACCAAAAAAUGAACAAGUUGAUAGCUGAAACAAUUCACUUUGGCUCCAAAGAGGACUUCCUACAGGCAAUUGCAUAUGACAUAUCAACUAAUAUAGGGAAGGGCUCAAAAGCAUGGCAAGGGGCGUUAUGUUUGGAAGACAUUGAGUACAUACUGGAAUUAGUAACUACGAAAAAGUCUCAAGAUACAGUCUUGGAAACAAUGUCAAAACAUUUCAUUACAAAAAAUGUGCACUACGUAAAUUCACAGGAACUGAUUUAUUUGGCUGACAAUUUCAAGGGUUAUGACCUUUUCAGCAAGUUACGAGAAAAGGUACCUUUCCUUUUCGCAUCCCGAAAGGAGGUUGAUCUAUGCAAGAAAUCCUAUAAAAGUGAAUUUCAAACAAUUUUUUGUCCUGAGCGAACGGCUACAGGUUGGAAAAUUUGCCCCAAGCGACUUCUAGAAUGUUUGUCCUUUUUAUAUUAUUGGCUCCCAAAGACAACUCAAAACUGGAAAGUAUAUGGCGAUGCAAGAAAUUAUGGAAGAAAAGCAACAGUUAUGCUGGGUGUCAAUAAUGUUGACAAUCAUCAAAUUCUUAAUGGUAUCAAAUAUCAUAGUCCAAAACAUUUUUGGCCCUUUCAAGUUUUUUAUGGAAAAGAUAAUCGAAUUAACCUUGAAACCAAUGUGGGUGAUGGGCACGGUGGCCCAGGCUAUCUUGACAAGAUUAUUUUCGACAUGCAAAACAACAGUGAUUACCGCUUUUACUUGACGGGAGACUCCCCUUUUCUGGAUGCCGUAUUGGCAGAAAAAGGCCUUGGUGGUACCACGGACGAUGGUUACAAUAUUUACAUGUAUGACAAGAAAGAUAACAAAGGUGAAGUCUGCCCACACACAAAGCUUAGGUCACAUCUAGCAAAAGCCAUCAACAGACAACACCCAACAUCACUGUUGCCAUCUAUACCCAUUGAAAGAGUUGUAUUCGAUAUUGAUCAUGCUGUAACAAGAAUUGUAGAAAAACUGUUAACCCUUCGAAUAAUGAAAUCAGUUCAGUUAACUAGUAUUAUAAAAGGAGAUGAAGGUGUCCAGCGCCGCAAUGCUAGCCUAGCACAUUUGCAAGCAAACUUAAACACACGGGGGGUAAAAUCAGGAUCAUUUCACAUAGACCUCGAGACUAAUGGAUCCUUGAAAUAUCCUAUAUCUUUAAAUAAAACUGAUGCUUGUGUAACAAUAUGUCCCCCAGAAUUUUUUGAAGACCCAUUCAUGCCCAUUUUACAAGGAGUUGCUUCAACUCAGCCAAUUCCAAAUACAUUACCAACACAACUUAGAGAAGUAUCAGAAAUUACCUCAGCCAUGACAUGUGAACUGGAAAUCGAAACUAAGCUGUAUUACCACAUGGGAAUGAUGUAUAUGUACUUAAGAAACGAUGCCAACCCAAGAAAGAUACUUGAAACACAAGCACAUGAAGGCAAUAACACAGCAGCACAUGAAGGCAAUAACACAGCAGCACAUGAAGGCAAUAACACAGCAGCACAUGAAGGCAAUAACACAGCAGCACAUGAAGGCAAUAACACAGCAGCACAUGAAGGCAAUAACACAGCAGCACAUGAAGGCAAUAACACAGCAGCACAUGAAGGCAAUAACACAGCAGCACAUGAAGGCAAUAACACAGCAGCACAUGAAGGCAAUAACACAGCAGCACAUGAAGACGAAAAAGUCGGCCUCUCUGAUGAUGAAGUAGCUAAGUACCGGACACAUGCGGAUGCUUUCCAUGGACUUUUCUGUCACUUGUACGGAGGACCAGAACUUACACCAUACAUGAUGAAGAUGAUCGAUGUGGUACCACUGUUGUUACAAAAAUUACCUUGCCGGUCUAUGAUGAGGUUUUCAACGGAAGGACCGGAACAUGUCCACUAUAUGCACAUGUGCUUCUAUUAUUCACAUACACCCCGAGGUGGUGGAAGAGGAAAACCAGAUACUAUAUUAAUGUUAUUUGAAUGGAUUUGGAGGAAUUUGCAUUAUCUUAUUGGCACCUACAAGAAUUCAGAAGACACUGAAGCAGUAAAAGCAUUUGUGAACUUUGAAAAGUAUGUAAAGCUCCAUAUGUUCUGGAAUCAGUUUAUUGCUAAAUGCAGAGGAUACAUACAACGUCAAGUAAUUCUUCCAAGAAUGAAAAAGCAAAGGGAGGUUAACCAGCAGCAGAGUCCCCCAGCUCAGAAACCUUUGGCAAACCAUACUUUUUUCCUUAGUGGAAGAAUUCCGUCAAAUUGUGGUAAGAAACAGGACCUCUGUACCAAGAUUAGGGAAAAUGGGGGCAGAGUAAUAGAAAGAAUACCCCCCCAAGGAAUUUCAAUAGAUGUAACAAUUUUUAACAACUCAAAAUGAAGUUGAUAGAGGAACUGAACGAUUGAAUAAUAGCAGAUUAGCAAAUCAGAAAUCAAGAACUCGACAACCAAAUGAUGCAAUAGUAAAAGCUUUUCGGAGGAAAUGGAACAUACUCUCCUUCCAAUAUGCGCAAGACUGCAUCAACCAUAAGACCAUGUUGGACAAAAGCAAGUACCUCCUGAAUAUGGAUUCAUUGCGAAAAGCACCCUCUACAUGCUUGGCAAGUGUUGAAGAGAUAUCACCUGAAUCAUUGUAUUUCGGCAAAGGGCGAAGUGCCAUCACCCAGCUCCGUAAAAAGAUGAAAAAAAACAGGGGAGUAAAAGAGGUAGCAGUAAAACGGAAAGGGACCAAACGACUUUCAGUGUGGGGGAGAUUUGUGUCAAAAGAAUCAGAAAAGCUUAAGGGGUCCACCAAGAAAGGAAACUGCAUCACCACUGUCAGAGAACUCUCCAAAAGAUGGAAAGCAUUGACGUCACAGCAGAAAAGGGAUUUCAAGGAGGAAGCAAGGCAAUCGUUUAAAAAAAGGCAGGAUUUACAAAAAUCAACAGAAAUUCCUGAAACAUCAACUCAGGACCAUUCCAACAAAUCCCCAGCAUAUAGAACUGCUAUUUCAGGACUUACACCAUUAAUGCAGCUGUCACCCGAUGUAGAUUGAAUUGGCAUACAAUUUCCACUCGCCAUGACAACUUUCGCCCCGCUAUCGUCUGUGGAAAUAGAGAAUGCCUUUCCCUUCUUGGCAGACUAGGGCAACAUGAAAAUGACGAACACAUUAGGCACGGCACGUCAAAAUUUUAUUUGUGCAUUUCCUUUUCUUCCAAUAACAUACAUAUCAUCACUGAAGAAUAUUUAUGUGCAUAUAUGUGUAGAUAAGAUAAUAUAGCGUGUAAAAAUGAAUGAAUGAAGACCUUUAUUGUAUGCAAAUACCCACUGGGUUCAGUACAGGUCACAGGAAAGACGUCACAGUUUGCAAUGAAUAUAUACAAUGUACACGCUAGCUCUAAUUCUAUGUACUAUGGACAUAUAGUCUAAUAAUUACGAUAAUUUGGCUUCUUCUCGCUUCUUAGUAAUGAUGUAGAUAUAAGUACAGAUGUGUUUUAUAAUCGAAGGUAUGUCUAAAACCAUCAGAAAUAUGAACUUAUCUGUGUUGCUAAGAUGUAUGAAAUGGGGAAACAUACAUUGCAAUAGUUUAUAAAGCUCUGCUCUCUCUUCGUUGUAUAAACUACAUUCUAAUACAAAGUGUUCCUCAUCCUCUAUCCUAUUUAGAUUACAAUACCUACAUAUUCGUUGUUCCAGGGGAGUGCGGUUAUGCAUAUAUGGCGCCCGGUUUCAAUGUAAAAAUAGGUAGAACAUAACUUAAAACAGGGAUAUUGUAGUUUGAUAUACAAGGGGAACCUGGUUGGCCUUUUAUACAUUUAUUUUAUGAGUAUAGGGUGGUAAAUUUGGUGUUUUUAAUGUGAACAAAACCAAACAUGAAAAAAGAAUGGUGAUUUAUUGCAAAAAAAAAGGAAUUUCAUGAUAUAUCUAAGCUCUUUGCAAUUGAGUAGAUGUUACAGUAACUGUACUACAUUUUGUAAGUAAUCGCCGACAAACAUGUCAACUAAAUCAAUGUACAUGUAGCUAAUAUAGACAAGAGAAAUAGUUUAUUGUGAGAUUGCAUGAAUUGUUGAAUGUGAUGUUGAAUACUGUAAAUGUAAACCAUACCUUGAGUAAAAGGGACAAACUGAUGUUUUAUUAUCAAUUGAACUUUAUUAACUAGGUUGAAGAUCGCCAAAACAUAUUGAAAUUGUACAGCAUGAAAUGUCAAGUUCGUAUGCAUGUCCCAUAAGUGAAGUGCUUUUCCAAUGCAGCAUGUCAUACACUGUCAAGGUGCUAUGUUCGAUUAAAAGAUUAAUUCUCGAAA